GACGAACGCUGGCGGCGUGCCUAAUACAUGCAAGUAGAACGCUGAAGAGAGGAGCUUGCUCUUCUUGGAUGAGUUGCGAACGGGUGAGUAACGCGUAGGUAACCUGCCUUGUAGCGGGGGAUAACUAUUGGAAACGAUAGCUAAUACCGCAUAACAAUGGAUGACACAUGUCAUUUAUUUGAAAGGGGCAAUUGCUCCACUACAAGAUGGACCUGCGUUGUAUUAGCUAGUAGGCGAGGUAACGGCUCACCUAGGCGACGAUACAUAGCCGACCUGAGAGGGUGAUCGGCCACACUGGGACUGAGACACGGCCCAGACUCCUACGGGAGGCAGCAGUAGGGAAUCUUCGGCAAUGGGGGCAACCCUGACCGAGCAACGCCGCGUGAGUGAAGAAGGUUUUCGGAUCGUAAAGCUCUGUUGUAAGUCAAGAACGAGUGUGAGAGUGGAAAGUUCACACUGUGACGGUAGCUUACCAGAAAGGGACGGCUAACUACGUGCCAGCAGCCGCGGUAAUACGUAGGUCCCGAGCGUUGUCCGGAUUUAUUGGGCGUAAAGCGAGCGCAAGCGGUUUGAUAAGUCUGAAAUUAAAGGCUGUGGCUCAACCAUAGUUCGCUUUGGAAGCUGUCCAACUUGAGUGCAGAAGGGGAGAGUGGAAUUCCAUGUGUAGCGGUGAAAUGCGUAGAUAUAUGGAAGACACCGGUGGCGAAAUCGGCUCGCUGGUCUGUAACUGACGCUGAGGGCUCGAAAGCGUGGGGAGCGAACGGGAUUAGAGACCCUGGUAGUCCACCCCGUGAACUAUGAGUGCGAGGUGUUGGAUCGUUUCCGGGAUUCAGUGGCGCAGCUAACGCAUUAAGCGCUCCCCCUGGGGAGUACGACCGCGAGGUUGAAACUCAAAGGAAUUGACGGGGGCCCGCACAAGCGGUGGAGCAUGUGGUUUAAUUCGAAGCAACGCGAAGAACCUUACCAGGUCUUGACAUCCCGAUGCUAUUUCUAGAGAUAGAAAGUUACUUCGGUACAUCGGUGACAGGUGGUGCAUGGUUGUCGUCAGCUCGUGUCGUGAGAUGUUGGGUUAAGUCCCGCAACGAGCGCAACCCCUAUUGUUAGUUGCCAUCAUUCAGUUGGGCACUCUAGCGAGACUGCCGGUAAUAAACCGGAGGAAGGUGGGGAUGACGUCAAAUCAUCAUGCCCCUUAUGACCUGGGCUACACACGUGCUACAAUGGUUGGUACAACGAGUUGCGAGUCGGUGACGGCAAGCUAAUCUCUUAAAGCCAAUCUCAGUUCGGAUUGUAGGCUGCAACUCGCCUACAUGAAGUCGGAAUCGCUAGUAAUCGCGGAUCAGCACGCCGCGGUGAAUACGUUCCCGGGCCU
rnacentral:rRNA from 1 species